rnacentral:rRNA from 1 species
AUUGAACGCUGGCGGCAUGCUUUACACAUGCAAGUCGAACGGCAGCGGGGACUUCGGUCCGCCGGCGAGUGGCGAACGGGUGAGUAAUGCAUCGGAACGUGCCUAUCAGUGGGGGAUAACGCUUCGAAAGGAGUGCUAAUACCGCAUAUUCUCUGAGGAGGAAAGCAGGGGACCUUAGGGCCUUGCGCUGAUAGAGCGGCCGAUGUCGGAUUAGCUAGUUGGUGAGGUAAAGGCUCACCAAGGCGACGAUCAGUAGCUGGUCUGAGAGGACGACCAGCCACACUGGGACUGAGACACGGCCCAGACUCCUACGGGAGGCAGCAGUGGGGAAUUUUGGACAAUGGACGCAAGUCUGAUCCAGCCAUUCCGCGUGCAGGAUGAAGGCCCUCGGGUUGUAAACUGCUUUUGUACGGAACGAAAAGGUUUCUAUUAAUACUAGGAGCUCAUGACGGUACCGUAAGAAUAAGCACCGGCUAACUACGUGCCAGCA